GGGCCCUUAUCUAGCAGCAAUGCUGAAAAGAAGUUGUGCUGCUGUCCCUCCUCUGAGAGCUGUUCUGCCUCCUCAAGUGACUGACAAAUGCAGGACCAGCCCGCACUGGAUCCUAUCACAGCAUAACAGAAAAGGAGAGAAGAGAAAAUGGAGAAAACCGUCACUCAGUGAAGGAAAGCAGUUUGUCAAACCCAGAAGCACCAUCUACAGCAACUAUGCUGCUUUCACUAUUAAAGCAUUCCGCUGAACUCAGGUUCACCAGCUUUAUUACUUCACAGUUGAUCAUUGGUUCAGAGCAGUCCAGAAUAAGUGGCACAAGCAGACAGACUGAUGACUGUGUGGAUGAAUGAGAUUAAAGAAGUGCAGGAACAAACUGUGUGUCUCCACGGAAUGCUUCAUCGGCUGUGUUCUGCUUAUUGUGUUGUUUCCAACAAUUUAUAUAAUUUUUAAUUUAGAUUGAUAUGGGAAGUAAAUAAAAACACAAUUUAUUGUGUUUGCAGGAACGCUAUUAAUAUCCAAGCUAGUAUUUACAGUUCUAACAAAAUCCACAUUAUAAAGUUUCUACUAAUGUUAUAAACACAAAAAAGGGACCCAAUGUAAAUAUUUGAAAUGCAGCUUUAAAUAGCUUAUGGCUAGGGUAUAUGCAGGUGGUAGAUGAAGGCAGUCCUUUGAAGGUUUUUAGCUGGGUUAUGACAAAAGCAAGGCAUGUGACAUAGCUCUGAUUCAUAAGUCUUAUACCCCAUUUUUCUGUGACCUUAUGCCUCAGUUUCUGUGAGCCAAUCCUAAGGCCUGCAACAUUUUUAGACUUCUAGCUUGUACAUUCAGGACUUUCUUAGACACAGACAUCUUACAAAUCUUUCUAACAAAUUCCUAUUUUAUGGCAGCUCUCACUUUUAUUUUCAUAUUUCAUGGAAAUACAGUUAUAUUUUCAAAUACACCUACUGAGUAUCUUUGUGUAAUUUAACAACACUUUUAGAAAAAAAUAUUUUUUUUAGUGGUUUAUGGCUCUCAAUAAACAGAAUGAGUCAUAUUAACAGAUGUGGUCUUGGCUAUCACCAUAAGGAGGCAUGCUGCUAUCUUGUGACUUCCUAUGCAACGUAAUUGAUUCGUAUAUGAGUGUCCACUGUAUGUGUUGCUCUACUUAAGCACUGAAUCAUUAUGGCCAUUGCAGAAUGGCACUUGGAAGUCUAACACAAUGGACAAAGCUGAAAAACACUUGAACUCAAUACCAGUUGAAUCCUUAGAAUAUAUCCUACAUGAUUUGAUCAAUAUUAAUCUUGCUUUUUCCUUUGAAAUAUACUGCAGUAUCUCUGUUCUAGAGAACAGAAAUUGAGUCAUUAGGCACAGAAAAUGUUGAAGAAAAAUCAAGACAUUAUCCAGGGUAACUUCAAGUGGAUGUAUUUGGACUUUUUUUUUUUUUCUGAUUAUAGUCUUCUAAUUGUGAACCUGUCAAUUAUUUUCACUUCUUACAGCACUGAAUACCAGAUGCACUUUAACAUUCUGCAUAACCUGUGAGUGCGUUUUAUCAAAUUCAUUUUAUAAAGAUUUUCAUUAAAGUACAACAGGCUGUCAGGAAAGAAAAUUCUUUAAUAGUAUUUUACUAGUUUCUCAGCUCCUCUUCUCUCCUUUCCCACAGUACCACCUAUAUGAGUAUUUCCUCUAAAAUCUGCAUUAAAUUUUUUUUUUUUAAUCUCAGUUCUGAACUUAUAUGACAUCAUAGAUUCACAGAAUCAUUGAAUCAUAGAAUAGCUUGGGUUGGAAGAGAUCUUAAAAAUCAUGUGGUUCCAAUCCCCUUGCCAUGGAGUGCUGCCACCCACCAGAUCGGGCCUUGAACACCUCCUGGGAUGGAGCAUCCAUAGCUUCUCUGGGCAACCUGUUCCAACACCUUGCCACCCUCUGAGUAAAGAAUUACUUCUUUAUCUCUAAUCUAAAGCCACUCUCUUUCACUUUAAAGUCCUCUUGCCCUAUUGCUAUACUCUUUGAUAAAGAGUCCCUCCCCAGCUCUUCUGUAGGCCACCUUUAAGUAUCAAAAGGCCUCAAGGAGUUCUCCCCUGAAGCCUUCUCUUCUCCGAGCAGAACAAACCCAGCUCUCUUGGUCUUUUAUUACAGGAGAGGUACUUCAGUCUUCCUCUGGACCCACUCCAAUAGCUCUAUGUCUUUCUUGUGCUGGGGAUUGCAGGUCUGGAUGCAGUACUACAGAUGGAGCAGAGUGGAGGGGAUUUACAAGGGCAGAGUGGAGGGGACCAAACCCCCCUCUCUCCCUGCUGGCCACCCCUCUUCUGAUGCAGCCCAGGAUACUGUUAACAUUUUAAGCUGCAAGUGCACACUGCUGGCUCAUGUUCAGCUUUUUGUCCACCAGAACCCCCAGUUCCUAUUCUGCAGAGGUGCUUUCAAGGAGUUCUCCCAGUCUGAUAAUUGGUUUGUCCCCCAAUUCCAUCACUUCAUAAUAGAAGGCCACCAGAUUGGUCAGUUGCAUCCUGGAUAUUUUCCUUCAUCAUAGGAUAAAGUCUCUGGAUUUUUUUUUUUUUAAUUUAGUUAUUUUUUGUUUUACAGGGGCUAUCUAGGAGUCAAGAACUUAAAUAUCCCUAAACAUCCAGUAGAAUUAUGUAGUGAAGACAGGCAAGUCUUUAGAGCGAGAUUUUGAAGUGUUGGUAGGUUUGAACAUUAUUUUGGUAGGUUAUAACAUUGUUUUUCAUCUGUCUUCUUGAGUCACUAAGCUUUCCUGGGCAUGAACAAGGAGCUGGCAUGGCUGAGUUGCAAGGCUUGGUGCAUUUCAGCAGGCUGUGGAAGGAUAAGCUGCAGAACCAGUGGUUCCAUCCUUGCCAAAGGGCAAUUUAGGAAACAUCAAUUAAAUUUAAAUUCUCCAUUCUAAAUAUUUUGGUGUUGUCAAGAUUUAGCGUGAUCAAAAUUUUGAUGUAAUAGAAAAGUUCAAAAAUGUGCCUCUCUGAACCACAAAUCAAAUCCCUUGUUUGAAAAUCAGUAAGAUUCAUAGAUUCUGAAGCAAGAAGAAGAAAACACACAGACCUUAAAUCUGCUCACAGUAUAUGAACUACUUUCCCAGGAAAGCUAGCACAAAUAAACUUUGUUCUAAAUCAAAACUCUGGCCACAGCGGCAUUCAGUGCUCUGUUCUAGCAUCGGAGAACUACAUAGCUCUACUUUCAGUACAGUGCAGAUGGAACCAAGGAGUCAUUUGAAAAUUAGUACAAACGAACAAAGAAAU